rnacentral:rRNA from 1 species
GACGAACGCUGGCGGCGUGCCUAAUACAUGCAAGUAGAACGCAGUUGCGAACGGGGGAGUAACGAGUAGGUAACUGCCUCAUAGCGGGGGAUAACUAAUGGAAAAGAUAGCUAAUACCGAAUACUGAGAGAUGGACCUGCGUGGUAUUAGCUAGUUGGUGAGGUAAAGGCUCACCAAGGCGACGAUACAUAGCCGACCUGAGAGGGGGAUCGGCCCACCUCGGACUGAGACCCGUCCCCGAUUACUACGGGAGGCAGCAGUAGGGAUUCGUCGUCCAUUGAUGGAAGUCCUACCGCGCCCGGCCGGGUGAGUGAAGAAGGUUUUCUGAUCUUAAAGCUCUGUUGUUAGAGAAGCGGUAACUAACCAUAAAGGGACGGCUAACUACGUGCCAGCAGCCGCGGUAAUAC